rnacentral:rRNA from 1 species
AUUGAACGCUGGCGGCAGGCCUAACACAUGCAAGUCGAGCGGUGCGGCCGACGGGUGAGUAAUUCCUAGGAAUCUGCCUGGUCUUGGGGGAACACGUCCGUAAACGGGCGCUAAUUCCGCAUACUAUCAGAUGAGCCUAGGUCGGAUUAGCUAGUUUGUGGGGUAUAGGCCUACCAAGGCGACGAUCCGUAACUGGUCUGAGAGGAUGAUCAGUCACACUGGAACUGAGACGCGGUCCAGACUAAUAUGUGAGGCAGCAGUGGGGAAAAUUGGAUAAGGGGAGGAAGGCUGGUCCAGCCCUGCCGCGUGUGUGAAAAAGGUCUUGGGAUUGUAAAGGACUUUAAGUUGGGAGGAGGUACCAACAGAAUAAGCACCGGCUAACUUCGUGCCAGCAGCCGCGGUAAUAC